GAUGAACGCUGGCGGCGCGCCUAACACAUGCGAGUCGAACGGCACCCCUCCUCGGAGGGAAGCGAGUGGCGAACGGCUGAGUAACACGUGGAGAACCUGCCCCCUCCCCCGGGAUAGCCGCCCGAAAGGACGGGUAAUACCGGAUACCCCGGGGUGCCGCAUGGCACCCCGGCUAAAGCCCCGACGGGAGGGGAUGGCUCCGCGGCCCAUCAGGUAGACGGCGGGGUGACGGCCCACCGUGCCGACAACGGGUAGCCGGGUUGAGAGACCGACCGGCCAGAUUGGGACUGAGACACGGCCCAGACUCCUACGGGAGGCAGCAGUGGGGAAUCUUGCGCAAUGGGGGGAACCCUGACGCAGCGACGCCGCGUGCGGGACGGAGGCCUUCGGGUCGUAAACCGCUUUCAGCAGGGAAGAGUCAAGACUGUACCUGCAGAAGAAGCCCCGGCUAACUACGUG
rnacentral:rRNA from 1 species